AGUUAAUGAGCUUGUAAUUAAGCAUAUAUUUUGAAAAUAUAAUAAAGAAAUAAUUUCUAUUAACUU
rnacentral:tRNA from 1 species